rnacentral:rRNA from 1 species
UACGAAGGGGGCUAGCGUUGCUCGGAAUUACUGGGCGUAAAGGGAGCGUAGGCGGAUCGUUAAGUUGGGGGUGAAAGCCCGGGGCUCAACCUCGGAACUGCCUUCAAUACUGGCGAUCUUGAGUAUGGGAGAGGUGUGUGGAACUCCGAGUGUAGAGGUGAAAUUCGUAGAUAUUCGGAAGAACACCAGUGGCGAAGGCGACACACUGGCCCAUUCUGACG